UCGAAGGUAGCAUAAUCAGUAGUCUUUUAAUUGAAGGCUGGUAUGAAUGGUUGGAUGAAAUAUUAACUGUUUCAUUUAAAUUUUUUAUGGAAUUUUAUUUUUUAGUUAAAAAGCUAAAAUAUUAUUAAAAGACGAGAAGACCCUAUAAAUCUUUAUAUUUUAUUUUUAUUAAUUAUUUAGAUAUUUUUAAUUAUUAAAAGUUAAAAUAUUAUAUUGGGGUGAUAUUAAAAUUUAAUAAACUUUUAAUUAGUAAUAACAUAAAUUUAUGAAUUUUUGAUCCAUUAUUAAUGAUUAGAAAUUUAAGUUACUUUAGGGAUAACAGCGUAAUUUUUUUGGAGAGUUCAUAUCGAUAAAAAAGAUUGCGACCUCGAUGUUGGAUUAA
rnacentral:rRNA from 1 species